GGCGGUCCGAGGGGUCCCGGCUGUGAGGGGCGGGCGGCGGUCCGAGGGGUCCCGGCUCUGAGGGGCGGGCGGCGGUCCGAGGGGUCCCGGCUGUGAGGGGCGGGCGGCGGGCCGAGGGGUCCCGGCUGUGAGGGGCGGGCGGCGGUCCGAGGGGUCCCGGCUGUGAGGGGCGGGGGCAUCCCGGUGUGAGGGUAUCUCCGAGGAGGGCGUGUUGGUGUGAGGGUCUCUGUGGGGAGAGGGCGUUGGUCUGGUGGGUUCUUGUGAAGAGGGGGAGCCGGGUGUGAGGGGUUGUGUGAGGGGCUCUUGGGGGUGUGCAGAGAGAGUAACCAGCUGUGAGGGGUUGUGUGAAGAGCAGUUUUAGGGGAUAAGAGAAGAGUUGCUGAGGGAUAGGAGAACAGGAGAGAGCUGGCAUGUGGGGGUGCUGAGGGAAGUUUGGGAAAUAAUUUGUGGAAGCCCCAUGUGGGGACACUGAGUGGGGAGAGGGGCCUGAGGGAGAAGAUGAUGGGGGGCUGCUGCUGAGGCCAUUUGAGCUCAGACAGCAUUUUGAGGGGCAACAGUCCUGAGGGAGAAUGAGGAAACUGAGGAAAGGUGUAGGGCAGACGUCAGCAAGGAAGUACUUGGGGCCUGGACAUGUGUGGGAAGAAGAGGUGUAGGGGAGAGGCCUGGCACGGAUGGGAACUUUUUGGGGACAAUGUGGAAGAGGACAGUAGGUUUGGGGUAAGCUGUCUGUGGUGAGGACAUGGAUCCAAGUGGAGCUGCCUCUCUGGCCAGGGGCAGCUCAUCUACAGGCGGUGUCAGUCCCAGGAGGUGGUAGGUGACUGCUCUAGUGCAGCUGCCCUCACCAAAUGGGUGUAUUUCAGCCUGCCCUUGGCCGAACUGUAUCUGGGUUGUGGCCAGAAGAGGGGAAAAAAAAAUCUCAUGGGCUGAGCACAUGGUCUCCUAAACUGUACUCUUGGCUCUCGGUGGUGAGUGUUGAACUUGGUAGGUUGUUGAGCCUUUGUGUGCUUUGGUAUCUCCAUCUAUGAAGCAGAGAUAACAGUUGGCUUCAUGCAGGGAUUAAUUAUCACAUCUUGUAGUCACGUAUUUGUUUAUUUGUUUUUACUAUAGAUUACAGCUGGAGGAAUUCUAAACAGUUCACUUCUCCUUGUCAUGGUGUUUGAGCGCAUUGUGCUCCGUCUGAACAGAGGAAAUCACUGAGCAGGACUGAAGGGGGUUUUACUCUGGCAUUGGUUCAGAAUACCUGCAAUGGCUACAAGGACAAGUAUUAUAGAGUCCUUGAUCUUGAAGAGUGACUGAUGGAAAGAAGCAGUGCAGGAAAGGCCUUGGCUCUGGUCCUUGGCUGGAUGGGCAAGAAGAGGCCUUUGGCAGAGAAGGGAGAAAGGUGACUAAUAAUGUGAAACUGGGAGGAAACACAUUUCAGUUAUGCAAUCUUCUGGCUUGCUUUCUCUGAAGGAAGACACCUUUUGUUAGUUGUUCCACUGGCACUUGCUGCUCAUGCUGUCUUCUGAAUAGAAAUCUAAACCAAUUAUUUCUCUGCUUGCCUUAGGAAGCUUAAUUUAGCUUCAUAGCAA